rnacentral:rRNA from 1 species
UACGAAGGGGGCAAGCGUUGUUCGGAAUUACUGGGCGUAAAGGGCGCGUAGGCGGCUUAUCAAGUCAGGCGUGAAAUCCCCGGGCUCAACCUGGGAACUGCAUCUGUGACUGCAUAGCUAGAGUACGGUAGAGGGGGAUGGAAUUCCGCGUGUAGCAGUGAAAUGCGUAGAUAUGCGGAGGAACACCGAUGGCGAAGGCAAUCCCCUGGACCUGUACUGACGCUCGUGCACGAAAGCGUGGGGAGCAAACAGG